UGUAAUGGCCGAGCUUGAAGUCUGAGAGGAAGGAAACAGCCUGAGACAUGCUCAUGUAGCCGUACACCUUGAAGCAGACAUUGGCAAUGGGAUAGCCUGGCAUUAUCAGCCCCAUGGCAUACUCAGUGAUCACAUUCAGACCAGAAAUGUCAAACAUGCUAACAUAUUACUUGCCUGGUUGGUUGUCGCGCUGAUGAUACUUAUGGGAAGGGUGAAGAUGAAGGCCAUGCCGCAUGCAAAGAGGAGGCCCCACCAUGGGAGCUGGACCUCGUGCCUCAAGAUGGUGCAGAGGAGGAGGGACACUGUCAUCGACAGUGCCAUCAAUGAGUAGAACCACCAUCCUGGUAUGUCAUCAUACCUCUUCAUCAACUUCGUGUGGAUGUCAGGCUCCUCCUUCUGCGAUGCUCGGAAGCGGUAGUAGAUUUCCCUGGACAAUAGAUAUCCCAUUUCAGACACAACUAAUGCAUAUUUCAGUUUACAAAGUACAUGAGCAAAGUACAUGUAAUCAUAGUCUGUGUUUUUUUUGUUCAUGUACUCGGUUGAGAAGCCAUACUUUCCAUAAAAGAGGCCGACAUGUGUGAUGGUUGCGGCAAUGGUGGCAAAGCUGAGCCCAUAAGUGCGAGGAGAAGAUGGGGAACGUCUUGGCGUUGUACAGGUUGAGGCCCCAGUACGCUGUGGGCAUGACCACGUAGACGAAGAACGCGUAGCCGACGAAGAUGUUGACGGUGGCAAAGAAGGGUGAGAUGAGGGGGCUGAAGAGGAAGGAGGAGACUGUCGACCAAUCGAGCGUGAAGGCGCCGAGGCCCAGGCCCUUCAUGCCGGAGCCCAGCUGCUGCGCUGUCACAGACUUGGAGAAGACCCAGCACACCCAUGAGAUGGAAGUCAGCGUCGGGAAGAGAUAGCCUGGCACAGCGUACCACGCGAAGCUGCAGAUGAGCGCCACCAGGAAGAACUUGGAGCGGGAGAUCUGGCGCGAGCCCUUGGGGAAUUCUUCCUUCUCGUGCAGUGCCCUGGUUCAACAUUGAGGACAUGGUCAGCUGUUGUUAGCGGAAUUUCUAUCUCUACAGCAGAAACAUUAUGUCAUGAAAAUAUGCAGUCUGUAUUGGAACUAUAGUGUGGUCUUAAUCAGAUUGGUGUACUGAGAGUCAAUUAUUUGUCAUCAUGUACAAUGAAACGUUCCAGUCAUUCAGAAUUCAUCGACAUUUCAAGAUUCACAAGGUUGCUUAUGUAAACAAAAUAGUGAUUCUUCACUAA